GAGACAACCUUAUGGGGCAGGACUUGCUUCAGUGGGGCUUUGGUGCUCACUGAGUCUGACCCCUGAGUGUGUCUCU
rnacentral:pre_miRNA from 1 species